rnacentral:rRNA from 1 species
AUGCCUCCCCCGCCGCCGUCCCUCGCCGCCAAGGUCCAGCGCUUCUUCAGCUUCGCGGCGGCGCGGGACCGCUGCUUCAACCGGCGGUUCCUCGCCGCCGGCCUCCGCCCGGUCACCAUCCAGCUCCCCGACUCGGCGCACCCGGUCUCCGUCCAGCUCCCCGACUCGGCGGAACCCGUCACCACCGUCCACAUGUGGGUCCCCGCCAGGCCGCCACGCAACCCCCUGGUCCUCCUCCACGGCUUCGGCGCGUCCGCCACGUGGCAGUGGUACCCCUACCUCCGCCCCCUCAUCGCCGCCGGCUUCGACCCCAUCGUCCCCGACCUCCUCUUCUUCGGCAACUCCACCACCCGCCUCUCCGAUCGCUCCGACACAUUCCAGGCGUGGGCGAUGAAAACGGCGCUGGAGGCGAUCGGGGUGACCAAGUUUGGGCUGGUUGGGGUGAGCUAUGGAGGGUUCGUGGGGUACAGGAUGGCGGCGAUGUACCCGGACGCCGUGGAGAGGGUGACUAUGGUGUGCGCCGGCGUUUGCCUGGAGGAGAAGGACCUCGCGGAGGGCCUGUUCCCGGUGGCCGGGGUCGAUGAGGCGGCAGCGCUGCUUGUGCCGCGGCGGCCGGAGGAGGUGCGGCGCCUGGUCAGGCUCACAUUCGUCCGACCGCCGAUCAUCAUGCCGUCGUGCUUCCUUUGGGACUACAUUAAGGUGAUGGGCUCAGACCAUAUCGAGGAGAAGACUGAGCUACUACACGCUUUGAUUAGUGGGAGGCAAAUUUCGACUCUUCCAACACUGCGUCAGAAGACGCUGAUAAUUUGGGGGGAGCAAGAUAAGGUGUUCCCGAUGGAAUUGGCUCACAGAUUGAAGAGGCAUCUGGAUGGGAACUCUCGGUUGGCAGUCAUACACAACGCUGGGCACGCUGUCAAUCUCGAGAAGCCUGCAGAGGUAUGCAAGAGCGUCAUCGAGUUUUUCCAAGAGCCAAUCCCCGAAGCUUCAAACGACGAAAGGGUGUAG